GUAGCUAAAAUCAGUCUAAUGCAACAGGAACUUCAAGAACAACAGCCCAAAAAUGCUAUCUUAGCUGCAUGGAGAAAGGUGGCUCAUAUUUUCAAGAAGGCUUCUUUAUUGUUAGGAGUUUCCCUUCAAAAUGACAAGUGGCACAAACUCUUCAGAAUCUGGCUUGUCCUCAAAAAAAAAUUCUAAAAUAUAUGACAACUACUUGAAAGAAAUGAAUGAGGAUUUAAAGUUAAGGAAGCAGGAGCUUCUAGAGAUGCUGAAACCUCUGGAAGAUAAGAACAAUCUCUUAUUGCAGAAGGUAAUGGCGAACUUGGAGGAAAAACAAAAGAGUCUGCAGAUAAUGAGGCAGAUCAUGGCAGGGAGGGGUUGUGACGAAUCUUCAGUCAUGGAGCUUGCUACGGCACCAGAGGAGAGGAAACAGAACCUGACAUUCGAGUCAGAAGAGCUCCGUGAUCAACAGAGAGCAUUACUAAUGAAGUCGAAGGCAGACAUGCAAGACAGAAAGGCUCAGAAAUCCCCCUUAUCACUUUGGAAGGCCAAGAGUGAGCCAGAGACAUCAGAUGUGGACAAAGUGGACGACAUCAGGAAGGAAAAGCAACAGAUGAAAAUAAAAUGGGUCAAAUAUGAGGAACAACCCAACAUCCUUCAGAAUGGCUUUCUUGACAAAGUGAUUGAGCUGAAAAUUGAAGCCUUGAGGAACUACCAGAAGACCAAUGACUUUAAAUCAUCACUGUACCUACAACACAAUUUUGAGACAAAGCAAGGAGCUUUGAAUCUUCUGAGGCCUCAAGCUCCAAGUUCCUGCCUUGAACUCCUGCUCUGAUGUCCCUUCAUGAUGAACAGUCACUGGGACAUGUAAAAUGGGUGCUACAACUAUGGAGAGAGCAACAAUCAACAGAAAUGAACAUGAUACGAGAAUCCCAGGAUCAAAGAACUACGUAGAACAACAAGGAGGAACUAGAGAAAAGUCAGUAUGAUGAUGUAGGACAGAGGCUCUUUUUUCUGAAGUCAAUGCCAGAUGAAGCUCUGAAGGUUUAGAAGGCUUUCCCUACUUUUGCUUUGGACAUAUUUGAAGACUAGCAACAUUCUUCACAAAACCAGAAAAAAAAGGAAUCAUGAAAUUCAAGUAGAAGCACAAAAGACUCUGAAUAGCCAAAGCAACUCUAAGCAGAAGGAGCAAUGCUGGAAGUGACAGGAUAUCUGACUUAGGAAGCCACAGUAACAAGUCAAUAUUGUACCAUCACAGAAACAGCCACGUAGACCAAUACAACAUUAGAGGACUCAGAAAUACGUACAAAUAUCCACAGCCACCUGAUUCUUGACAAAGGUACCCAAAGCAUAUAUUAGAAGAUAUCUCCUCAACAAAUGGGACUAUGAAGACUAGAUAUCUACAUGAAGAAGACUGAAAUGAUCACAUUCUAUACAUUCUCUGUAUAAAAACCAAUUUAAAAUGGAUCAAAGCCCUUAAUAUAAGAUGAAAGAUUGACAUGUCUGAAGAAAUCAUAAGGAAAGUACCUUAAGACACAGAAACAGGCAAUGGUUUCUAGAAUAGAAUUUCAAUAACUCAGGACAAAAUAGCAAGAAUUGAAAAAUAGAAUGUAAUUGAGUUGAGCUUCUGUACAGUAAAGGAAACAAUUACUGGAGUAAAGGACCCUGCAUGCAGAUAGGACAAAGGUAAAUUUUCCUAAAAACGAUUUUGUACGUGUGGUGUGCCGUGGAGGUCAGUUCUAGUUCUCUCUUUCUACAAUAUGUGUCCUAGGGACCAAACUCCAGUUGUUAGGCUUGGGAGCAGGUGCCAAGCUACCUCACUGAACCCUAGAAGAUUUUUUUGAAAUGUACUUUUCAACUGGAAAAGGUUUAUGAGUUCACAGAAUAUUAGCAAUUUCAGUAUAAAAUUCCUUCACUUUACAAAAGAAACUGGACUUCAGAAACUGGACUUGAAAAGUGUCUAAAGACCUAGAGUUAAUUCAAGCUAGCCCUCGUUACCAGAGUGCAGAUAUUAUCACUGCCAGCUCACACUCCAGUCUAACUCGUCUUUCCCCUCUGACUAUAAAAGAAGAGUCUCCAAAGCCCUGAGAUGAUUAGUUGCAUGUUCUGCCAACUGAGUUAGCUGAGUAUAUAUAUAUAUAAUCCACAUUCUGUUUCAAGGAAACCACCUCUUAACUUAGACCCUGAGAGACUCUGGCAGACCUGAGGUUUCUGAAACCAAUUACAUUAGACAGAGCCAUGAGAACAGAACACAAGAAUAUAAAAUCUAACUACUGCUGACUACUUUGAACUUUUCAUUUAACCUAAGGGCCUUAGACUUUUAACUUUAACACUGUAUUAAAAGAGUACCCUUUGAGUGUGUAUUAAAUUUUUUUUUACCAUUAUAAUGAAUUGAGAUUAGUAUACGAAUACCCACUUUUUUGUUAAUUGAAGUAUG